rnacentral:rRNA from 1 species
UACGAAGGGUGCUAGCGUUGUUCGGAAUCACUGGGCGUAAAGCGCGCGUAGGCGGCUAUACAAGUCAGAGGUGAAAGCCCGGGGCUCAACCCCGGAAUUGCCUUUGAAACUGCAUAGCUAGAGUGUCGGAGGGGAUAGCGGAAUUCCUAAUGUAGAGGUGAAAUUCGUAGAUAUUAGGAGGAACACCGGUGGCGAAGGCGGCUAUCUGGACGACAACUGACGCUGAGGCGCGAAAGCGCGGGGAUCAAACAGG